GCCGCCGCCAAACAACUACGACGUCCAACUCCAGCCUGCGUCGCUCCUACUCCAAUGGAUCGUUCGACUUCCUCGUUGACGACGACUCCGAGGUCGGAUUGUCCAAUGCCAGAAACCGCUGGUCUGAUCGGAAAGAAGAGGUGAUUGUUGUUCUCGGCGAGCUCCCACCGCCGCUGCCGUCGGAGGCCAGUCUAGGCGCUAACGUGGCCUCGGGAAGGAGCUGGCUUAAAGAAUUCGUGCAUAGACUCUCCAGCUCUUCUCUACGAAGCUCCGACAGAUUCUUUACCGGUAGUAGCCGUCAGAGCAAGAUUGGCGGAACGGGAGAUCAGGAAGAUCGGGAAGGAGAGAGAGAGAGAGAGAGAGAGAGAGAGAGAGAGAGA
rnacentral:lncRNA from 1 species